GGAGACUAUUGAUAUUGCUGUUGGAAAUUGCUUGGACCGGUUUGCAAGAGUCUUAACACUAUCCAAUGAUCCAAGUCCUGGAUACAACAUUGAACAGCUUGCAAAGGAAGGAAAACUUUUUAUUGAACUUCCAUAUGUUGUCAAAGGCAUGGAUGUAUCAUUCAGUGGGAUAUUGAGCUAUAUUGAAGCAACUGCUGAGGAGAAGCUAAAAAGUAAUGAGUGUACUCCUGCUGACUUGUGCUACUCUCUGCAGGAAACAUUGUUUGCUAUGCUUGUGGAAAUCACGGAAAGAGCCAUGGCUCACUGUGACAAGAAAGAUGUUCUUAUAGUCGGUGGCGUAGGUUGUAACGAGCGUUUGCAAGAGAUGAUGAGAAUAAUGUGCUCUGAGCGAGGUGGAAGGUUAUUUGCAACUGAUGACCGUUAUUGUAUCGAUAAUGGGGCAAUGAUCGCAUAUACUGGUCUUCUUGCUUGGGCACAUGGCGUUUCGACACCAUUGGAGGAAGUAAAGUUCACCCAGCGGUUUCGAACUGAUGAAGUACAUGCAAUCUGGAGAGAAAGGAUUUGACUAAUGGAAAGGAGCUCAUGG
rnacentral:misc_RNA from 1 species